AGAGUUUGAUCCUGGCUCAGGAUGAACGCUGGCGGCAGGCUUAAUACAUGCAAGUCGAACGGUAACGACCGGUAGCAAUACUGGGGCGACGAGUGGCGCACGGGUGCGUAACGCGUAUGCAACCUACCCUCAACCGGGGCAUAACGCCGAGAAAUUGGCGCUAAUAUCCCAUGUGUAUAUGGAGUGGCAUCUCUUCAUAUAUAAAGAUCCGUUGGUUAAGGAUGGGCAUGCGUAACAUUAGCUAGUUGGCGGGGUAACGGCCCACCAAGGCGACGAUGUUUAGGGGUUCUGAGAGGAUUCACCCCCACACUGGAACUGAGACACGGUCCAGACUCCUACGGGAGGCAGCAGUAGGGAAUAUUGGGCAAUGGAGGCAACUCUGACCCAGCCAUGCCGCGUGAAGGAAGACGGCCCUAUGGGUUGUAAACUUCUUUUGCCGCAGAGUAACCGCGGGGACGAGUCCCUGCCUGAGAGUAUGCGGCGAAUAAGUAUCGGCUAACUCCGUGCCAGCAGCCGCGGUAAUACGGAGGAUACGAGCGUUAUCCGGAUUUAUUGGGUUUAAAGGGUGCGCAGGCGGACCGUUAAGUCAGGGGUGAAAAGUUGGGGCUCAACUCCAAUCGUGCCUUUGAUACUGGCGGACUAGAGUGCAGGGGACGUGACUGGAAUGUGAUGUGUAGCGGUGAAAUGCUUAGAUAUGUCACAGAACGCCGAUCGUGAAGACAGGUCACGAAUCUGCAACUGACGCUCAUGCACGAAAGCGUGGGGAUCAAACAGGAUUAGAUACCCUGGUAGUCCACGCUGUAAA
rnacentral:rRNA from 1 species